rnacentral:sRNA from 1 species
AGCUAUCGCGGCGGCGGCGGCGGCGGCGGCGGCGGCGGUUGAACUGACUCGGAGCCAGGAGACCCGAGCGAGCAGACGCUGGCGCCCGCCCCGCGCACUCACCAUGGCGGGUUCACCUGGGCUGGAGAGAACGACAGCUUGCACGACUCGUUCGUCUUUGAAGAAGUCAUAUCAUUUUCUUCAUCCCAUGAAGAAUGUCAUAGAAUUUAAGAUACAGGAAGCUCAGCCUGGGCAACAUAGCUAGACCCCGUCUCUACAAAAAUUAGCCACAAGUGGUGGCAGGCGCCUGUAAUCCCAGCUACUCGGAGGCUGAGGCAGGAUGAGGAGGAUUGCUCGAGCCCAGAAGUUCCAGGCUGCAGUGAGCCAUGACCUUCGGCCUGGGCAACAGAACAAGACGUCCUCAAACAAACAAAACAAAAAACAAAAAAGAUAUAGGAAGUGUAUGUAGGCCAUUUAGUGAAAUGAUCAGCCGUCCUUUAAAAAGGGAAAUAGAUGGAAAGCACUUGCAAAAGUUCCCCAGCCAGUCAGCCUAGCAACUGGGACCUUCAUCUCCUUCCCAACCCUUGUUUACAAAUAAGGACGCUUUUCUCAAAGUGUAAGUAACCCCAAAUGAAGAAAUAUAGAAGAAAACAAGUUCCAGGGAUUGCUCCCUCCUUCACCACAGCCCCACCCUGAAAAAAGCACAAAUCAGUUAAACUGUCAGAGGCCAAGAUUCAUCCCAAGUAGGAAAACAAGAUUGGGGCCCUGCCCCUUGCCUAUCUGACCACAAAGCCCUUU